AUGAAUAGAAGACAUGCAUGGCCAGAGGAGGUUGUAUGUGGUUUGACGAAAUCGCCAGAGCUGGGAGAGAAUAUCGAUGGGAUUGGAGUUGGGAGUGAGCAAUGGCGGAUCGGUGUGGAGCGUUGGCUUCGUUGGAGGGACACAGACGAAGGGAAUCGCAGGCACCGGUGGUGCUGCACCGAGAUGGAUCUGUGUGCAGUUACAGAAGGGCCGUUUGCAGAGUUUUCAGUGACUUGUUGA